rnacentral:lncRNA from 1 species
GAUGUAGAACCAAAUCCGGGAAGGUGGACUUCAGUGGUUUCAAUGUACUCACGUUGCAAUUUUAAAUCAGGAACAGAAGAAGAGGGAGAAGAGAAGGAGGAAGAAGAAGAAAAGAAGGAGAAGAGAAGAAGAAAGAGAGGAAGAAGAAACGUGGGGAAGGAAAUUGUUAAUCUUUCAUUAAACCCUAAUCAUGAAAAGUGGUCCCUAUAUAUUGGGCCAAAAUACAAAAUUUGCAUAAAUCCCCUUACACAGAAAUAAAUCCUAAUAAACCCACAAGUAAGCCCUAAAAAUGCAAAUAAGCCCAGAAUAAAAUAAACCACAAAUAAACCCUAAACACAAAUAAACCCAGGAAUAAAAAUAAACAAAUAUGCAAAUAAAAUGGGGA